rnacentral:rRNA from 2 species
GCUUGCUUCUCUUGAGAGCGGCGGACGGGUGAGUAAUGCCUAGGAAUCUGCCUGGUAGUGGGGGAUAACGUUCGGAAACGGACGCUAAUACCGCAUACGUCCUACGGGAGAAAGCAGGGGACCUUCGGGCCUUGCGCUAUCAGAUGAGCCUAGGUCGGAUUAGCUAGUUGGUGAGGUAAUGGCUCACCAAGGCGACGAUCCGUAACUGGUCUGAGAGGAUGAUCAGUCACACUGGAACUGAGACACGGUCCAGACUCCUACGGGAGGCAGCAGUGGGGAAUAUUGGACAAUGGGCGAAAGCCUGAUCCAGCCAUGCCGCGUGUGUGAAGAAGGUCUUCGGAUUGUAAAGCACUUUAAGUUGGGAGGAAGGGCAGUUACCUAAUACGUGAUUGUUUUGACGUUACCGACAGAAUAAGCACCGGCUAACUCUGUGCCAGCAGCCGCGGUAAUACAGAGGGUGCAAGCGUUAAUCGGAAUUACUGGGCGUAAAGCGCGCGUAGGUGGUUUGUUAAGUUGGAUGUGAAAUCCCCGGGCUCAACCUGGGAACUGCAUUCAAAACUGACUGACUAGAGUAUGGUAGAGGGUGGUGGAAUUUCCUGUGUAGCGGUGAAAUGCGUAGAUAUAGGAAGGAACACCAGUGGCGAAGGCGA